UACGGAGGGGGCUAGCGUUGUUCGGAAUUACUGGGCGUAAAGCGCGCGUAGGCGGCUUUGUAAGUUAGAGGUGAAAGCCCGGAGCUCAACUCUGGAAUUGCCUUUUAGACUGCAUCGCUUGAAUCAUGGAGAGGUCAGUGGAAUUCCGAGUGUAGAGGUGAAAUUCGUAGAUAUUCGGAAGAACACCAGUGGCGAAGGCGGCUGACUGGACAUGUAUUGACGCUGAGGUGCGAAAGCGUGGGGAGCAAACAGGA
rnacentral:rRNA from 1 species